CGACGAGAGACUGUCGCACUCU
rnacentral:miRNA from 1 species